rnacentral:rRNA from 1 species
GACGAACGCUGGCGGCGUGCCUAAUACAUGCAAGUAGAACGCACAGUUUAUACCGUAGCUUGCUACACCAUAGACUGUGAGUUGCGAACGGGUGAGUAACGCGUAGGUAACCUGCCUGGUAGCGGGGGAUAACUAUUGGAAACGAUAGCUAAUACCGCAUAAUAUUGAUUAUUGCAUGAUAAUUGAUUGAAAGAUGCUAUUGCAUCACUACCAGAUGGACCUGCGUUGUAUUAGCUAGUAGGUGAGGUAACGGCUCACCUAGGCGACGAUACAUAGCCGACCUGAGAGGGUGAUCGGCCACACUGGGACUGAGACACGGCCCAGACUCCUACGGGAGGCAGCAGUAGGGAAUCUUCGGCAAUGGACGAAAGUCUGACCGAGCAACGCCGCGUGAGUGAAGAAGGUUUUCGGAUCGUAAAGCUCUGUUGUAAGAGAAGAACGGGUGUGAGAGUGGAAAGUUCACACUGUGGCGGUAUCUUACCAGAAAGGGACGGCUAACUACGUG